GCGUUUGUGGUUUAGUGGUAAAAUCCAUCGUUGCCAAUUGGUUAUAUUGUACAGCUUAACACGCUAGUAUAACAUACAUCAUUGUAUCGAUGGGCCCCGGGUUCGAUUCCCGGCGAACGCA
rnacentral:tRNA from 1 species